GCGCGCCUGGAUGGAGACGUUCUGCCGGGCUUGAGCCGGCGACACCUGCUAGAAUUCGUCGGGGCGGACGUUCCAGCCCUCCGGCUCGCCC
rnacentral:tRNA from 1 species